UGCCCCGUCUCCCCAAAUCACGGAACAAUAUCGUCACGCAGAGGGCGGAGACCUCGCGCGCAUUAUGUUCCUCCCGAUCCCAUCACGCUCUUUCUCCUCCGCCGGCCCUAGGUAGGUGGCUGCUCUGCCCUCGACGGGUGUCUCAGCGUCGCUAUAUCUCUGAUGGUCGCUCCGCCCUCAAUGGGGUGUCCCAGCAUCGAUCUCCCUCAGAUCUCGCCACCAUCUCGGCCGGCGUCGUUACCUGCCUCCUCCAUCAGCGCUCGAGCGAAGCCGCCAUCAUAUCACGUGUUGCUGCGCAUGAGAGCGGAGCGGACGCAGAACUGGGUCAAGUAGAUUGAUUUUGAGCGGCGCACAGAGCCGAUGGUGGGGCGCUGGACUAGGCAGGCACCGCCGCCGCUCCUGCAUACCCGGGGGCGAGCGAGGAUGCAGGCAUGGCCGCCGCUCCCGAGGGAGUGGAUCUACCACUGCUGGUUUCAGUCACAUCACCUAUGCUAUAAUCCCACCCAUAUACAUGGCUGCCUGAAGGAGGUGUUCAAGAUGAAUGGGUACCGACAACAGCGGGCAGAUCAACUACGAGGAGCUCAAGGCUGUUCUGGAGCAGGUGGGUGCAAGGUAAUAUCCGACUCUUCAUGUUGAUCUGCCCGCUGCUCCCCUUCUCCUAGGUAACACCAUGGAAUCCCAUGUUUCUUUAAAUAUAUUUCUUGGAACUUCUUCUAAAAUUUUGGUCGCUCUUGGGAGUUCUUAUUCCAAUCAGAUCCACAGAAGGUGAUCUGGCUAACAUGCCGUGGAUUCAGGAUAGUGUGUGGGAUUUCCAGUAGAAGAGUAUCUUCAGAGAUGGCUCUUCUUGGCACCGCUAUCUCUGGUGUGAAUGUCCUUGCCAUGCCCAUUUUAGUGCCAGACACAAUACAGGAGAGUAAUGUUAUCAGGUCAUCACUCUUGUGGAAGGAUCGGCGCAGCAGAGCUUCGAAGGAGAUCCAGGUGUUCUUCUCCAUCCUUCAACAAGUGGAUUAUUCUUUGUGCCAAUGCAUAGCUUGAUUUCAUGUGAGAGGAUGGAUGUGUGAUGCACACGAUGCAACAUGUCCUAGAAUGAUGCGACGGACAGUGCCGCUGACAACGGCUAGGUGACAAGGAUGAGCCCCCUCGCACCAAAGCAGCUCGCAAGCUUGAUGGCGCCAAGGCAUCUCCCUACUGCUAUAAGAACGUCCACCAAUAAGCUACACAUGCUCCUACACCUUCUUAUGGCUUUUCAGGGAACAGCAGGCUGCAUUUCGUAUGCGGUUCGUAAUUUAUUCAUUAUCUCACUUUUAUCCAUAUCUUUAUUUUGGUUAUUAAGAUCCAAUUUGAACUUAAUUGUCUGGUUUAUUUUUGUUCCUUUCAGGCUUCAGUCUUGAAACAAAUUGAGGUUCAAAGAAGUAUUCACAUUGAGACCAAUCUCCAUUCCAUGCAGGUAGGGAAAGGGUUACUAGGUUUGGUUGGCGAUGGUUGUUCAUUGAUUUUUUAGGAUUUGUUUAUUGAUUAAUAAACGAUGCAUGAUCCUGUUAUGUAGAUAUCAUUUGAUGGGGAAACUUUUUAUAUGUUGCAUGAAAUGGUUUCUCAUUCUAUUUUAUUUCAGAUGUAUCUUCACCAGCAAUUAUAACUUCCCACUUUUGCUCAAGAUUUACAUGUGAGCCAAGCAAAUAUGGUGGCACAAUGCUUGACCUUCUAAUAUGUUAUGUACUAUUUCCAUUAGUGAACAUUGGUGCGUCUAAAAGACACAAUAUUCUACGAUGUUUGGAAACUCUUUAUUGGAUUUAAAUUUUCAAAUGUUACUCUUAUGUUUGGUAUGGGAUGUUCGCUUCUCAAAUAUAUUUUAAUCAUUUUCCUUUA